ensembl:lncRNA
CAAUCCCCUAUUCUCGUUUCUUUAUCAGUUUUUGCUGUUGGUUUUGUUUGGCCUGGGAUACAGUCAUGUUUCCUCCACAUUUUGAGUCCUUGCUUUCUGCUUAAAAAGAAAUUAAACUGUCAAACCAACAAACCAACAAACCCAAACACUCUAAAGGAUCAAAGGUGAUUGUUUUUAAAUACCUCACUCCCUACUGUGGAGGAAGACAUGAGCAUCCUUGGGGAAGCACGUUGGAUGUCCUUCAGAAACAUUCUGUUGUCACAGAGUCUGCCAUCAGAGGUGAGGGUAGUGGAAGGUGAGAGAGAGGCAGCUCAUCACAGAGAAUUCACUGCCUUGCGGGAAGAAUGCCCCGACCUUGGCUCUCUUCUAUGAUAAAACGUAAGCAGAGACAAAGAAGGGCAAGACAGGAAGCGCUUCAGCUGUCAACAAUAAAUACAAAACCUUUAAAGCAACAGUAGUACUUUGGCAAAGGUUGCGAGUUACAGAUGAGGUCAUCUUGGAAAUUAUUGAGAGGCAGGAAAGAGGCCCACCACGCUAAAUGGUGGCAGCAGUGCAGGUGGAGGGGUCUCAAUAAAGCUAGAGCAAAAGUGCCUAACAGGAGGGAAACUCAUGUGGACACGGAACAGUGGCUACGCAGAACGUCCACUGGAGCAGUGCAAACAGAAACUGUUGUCCUCCAUCACUGAGCACCACUGGACCAAUGUAAACAGACACUUUCAUCUUCCUCAUGUUUCUUGUCCUAUAUCCAGGAUAGAAAGACUUGGCAGCACACAGCUGGGUAUGAGGAAGGCGUAUAGUGACUUGGGGUGAAGGAUAGAAGCUUCUAAGGAGGUAACAAUCAUCCUUGCAUCCUUUUGGUAAUUUGCAGUGACAUUGCUACUCAACGAUAAGGGCAGUAAUGACCAAUAGAAUUCUCUACAAAGAUGGACCUGUUUGAAACCCAAACCGUGCUUCACUAAGGGGUAUUGGUUCACUGGCUGACAGGGUAAAUGCCAUGGCAAACGAUAGAAGAGAAAAUAAAACAGAGAUCUACCUGCCUCUGCCUCCUG